AUGAAGCUUCUAUGUUGAAACAUACGCGGCUUCGAGGACUUGGGCCGGAGGCGGCAGCUGAUUUAUUACAUUAGGAAGGAGGAGAUUGAUAUUGUAGGUUUGCAGGAGACGAUCCGCCGGGACUUCUCCAUCCAGGAACUACAUGGGUUGUCCCGACACUUGUUUGCCUGGCAGUGGCUGCCCAUGAUUGGGCUAUCUGGGGGCAUCCUGCUGGGUGUCUGGGAAGAUCUGUUCUCGGUUGAAGACAUGGAUAGAGGGGAAUUCUUAGUAUGUCCCUCACCGACCGGCGAAGGAACCUGGUGA
rnacentral:rRNA from 1 species